GAGUUUCUCUCUCCUGCGGAGAAUUACGUUACCGUACCAAAGAAAUUGUUUUUUUUUUAUCUUGGAGACCAACAAGUCAGGUGAGCUUGAAUUGGUCCCUGUGGUAUCCAAUGCGCUACAGAGCCUGCAAUGACGAUUGGUCAGGAUUCUGUCAAGAUACAGUCAAGGGAAUGAAGGUGAUAUACUAGUAUAAUUAUUAUUGAUAUGUAUUUAUUAGUUGGUGCCUGCAAGAUGCUAUCAUGCAAUUUGAAUAGCAAAAUCAUUUGGACGGUAAAUUA